rnacentral:rRNA from 1 species
AUACGUAGGGGGCGAGCGUUGUCCGGAAUGAUUGGGCGUAAAGGGCGCGUAGGCGGCGCGGUAAGUCUGGAGUGAAAGUCCUGCUUUCAAGGUGGGAAUUGCUUUGGAUACUGCCGCGCUUGAGUGCAGGAGAGGUUAUCGGAAUUCCCGGUGUAGCGGUGAAAUGCGUAGAGAUCGGGAGGAACACCAGUGGCGAAGGCGGGUAACUGGACUGCAACUGACGCUGAGGCGCGAAAGUGUGGGGAGCAAACAGGAUUAGAUACCCUGGUAGUCCACGCCGUAAACGAUGAGUGCUAAGUGUUAGGGGGUUUCCGCCCCUUAGUGCUGCAGCUAACGCAUUAAGCACUCCGCCUGGGGAGUACGGUCGCAAGACUGAAACUCAAAUGAAUUGACGGGG